GUGCAUACUCGGAGCGGUGUUUGAAAACACUAGACCGUCAGUCUAGUUUCUGUAACUCUAUGGCUGUAGUUAACGAUCCGCCUUAUUUCGUGGACAGGCACAGCACACCUCACCAGGGCAAAGGACCCGAUUUUCAGGACUGAGAAGCCAGGCACACCAAGAGAAGCUGGAACCCAAGCUAGUUUAUCAUUCUCCUCUUCUCCAUUUUAUCUUCACAGCACCCUGUGAGGCUCUCUGCAAUAAAAGUAGAACAGGGAAUUUCUGCAUCACUAGAUCAUGUCCACUUACCAGAAGAAAUAUUUCAUAUUAUCAUCUGAUGUAACAGAAUAGUUUUGUGGGCUAUUUGAAAUGAUAUGUUUGUACUGAAGUAGUAGUGGACUGGGCUGAAUCUGAUUGAUGUUCAGUACUUCUAUUACGCUAAAACAUGACAAUCCAGUCAUCCCUGAAAAAGUGUUUCCAGUUACACUAUGUUCUCAAGAUUCCAGCUGCUGGUUUCAAAUGGGCACCAAAAGGAGGACUGAUCUUGCAGUCUGUUUCCCAGGACGUAUAUCAGAAUUUGGCUUUAGAAGACUGGAUCCAUGAUACCCUUGACUUGGAGAACAGACAAAUUCUUUUCCUAUGGAGAAAUUCUUCUGCUGUAGUGAUAGGCAGACAUCAGAAUCCUUGGCAGGAAUGUAAUCUCAAAAUGAUGCGUCAGAAGGGAAUAAAACUAGCCAGGAGAAGGAGUGGAGGAGGAACAGUUUAUCACGAUCUAGGAAACAUCAACCUGACUUUCUUUACAACCAGGAAAAAAUAUGAAAGAAUGGAAAAUUUAAGACUGGUUGUUAAAGCUUUAAAAUCCCUACGCCCACAAUUAGAUGUGCAGGCUACUGCAAGAUGUGACCUCUUAUUAAAUGAGAUUUUUAAAAUCUCGGGCACUGCUGCAAAGCUCGGAAGGACUGUAGCUUACCACCACUGCACCUUGCUCUGCAAUACCAACAAACAUAUAUUGUCAUCUGUACUGAAAAGUCCUUACAAUGGGAUAAAAAGCAAUGCUACACCAAGUGUCCCAGCCUUAGUGAAAAACCUCUUGGAAGAAGACCCUACUUUAACUUGUGAGAUGCUCAUGGAUGCCAUUGCUGAAGAGUAUGCUACACACUAUCAUGCUGAUAACUGUAUCACUGUAAUAAAUCCAGCUGAUGAAAAGGAGUUUCCUGGAAUUAAUAAUAAAGCAAAGGAACUACAAGCCUGGGAGUGGAUCUACGGUAAAACACCCAAGUUCAGUAUUAGCAAAUGCUUGAACAUAGUAGAUGAACAAUCUUGCUUUGACAUAAAGAUAAAUAUGGACAUAAAGAAUGGCAAAAUUGAAACACUUGACAUUGAUGUGCCUCCGCAAUGGCUGCCACCAAUGAUGUGCUGUAAACUGAAGGACAACCUUAUUGGCAGCAAGUUCUGUCCAAGCGAAACUACAGCCGCAGCAAAUGCUUUGCUGAGAACGUGUACAGAUUACAAAUUAUAUAGCAAAUGGAAUCUGUUAUGUGAAAAAGUGUUAACACUAAUGUGACUGCCUUGAUAAGAAACUGCUCAAUCACUGCCAUGCCAUUAUCAAGCUUGCUCUAGUACAAGAUUUGGAGGGAUGAAGAAGAGAGAUAUAAGAUAGCAAUGUUGGUUAUGCAACAAGUAUUUAAGAAUGAAUUUAGACAAUCCAAUUCCCUUUUUAAAAAUAAGUCGUUUAUUAGUUCAGUUUAAGUUAUUUCAAGCAAGUGUUAAAGAUUUCAGGUUUCACAUUUAUCAUAAUGGGAUAAUUAUCAUCCCUGCCUGCAACUUUUCUUUAUUUAUUCAUUUCUGUCAUUUAAUAUCAUGCUGAUCAACUCAAAGGACUUCUUGUAACAGCUUACAAAAAUAAUAAUAAAAAGGACAAGUGAAAAAAAAA